rnacentral:tRNA from 1 species
GGGGAUUUAGUUCAGUGGUAGAAUGCUUGCCUAGCAAGCAUGAGGCCCUGGGUUUAGUUCUCA